rnacentral:rRNA from 1 species
AUUGAACGCUGGCGGCAGGCCUAACACAUGCAAGUCGAGCGGAGCGGCGGACGGGUGAGUAAUGCCUAGGAAUCUGCCUGGCAGUGGGGGAUAACGUCCGGAAACGGGCGCUAAUACAGCAUACUAGCAGUUGAGUCUAGGCCGGAUUAGCUAGUUGGUGGGGUAAAGGCCUACCAAGGCGACGAUCCGUAGCUGGUCUGAGAGGAUGAUCAGUCACACUGGAACUGAGACACGGUCCAGACUCCUACGGGAGGCAGCAGUGGGGAAUAUUGGACAAUGGGCGAAAGCCUGAUCCAGCCAUGCCGCGUGUGUGAAGAAGGUCUUCGGGUUGUAAAGCACUUUAAGUUGGGAGGCGUUACCCACAGAAGAAGCACCGGCUAACUCCGUGCCAGCAGCCGCGGUAAUAC